AUUGAACGCUGGCGGCAUGCUUUACACAUGCAAGUCGAACGGCAGCGCGGGCUUCGGCCUGGCGGCGAGUGGCGAACGGGUGAGUAAUGCAUCGGAACGUGCCCAGUAGUGGGGGAUAGCCCGGCGAAAGCCGGAUUAAUACCGCAUACGCCCUGCGGGUGAAAGCGGGGGACCGUAAGGCCUCGCGCUAUUGGAGCGGCCGAUGUCGGAUUAGCUAGUUGGUGGGGUAAAGGCUUACCAAGGCGACGAUCCGUAGCUGGUCUGAGAGGACGACCAGCCACACUGGGACUGAGACACGGCCCAGACUCCUACGGGAGGCAGCAGUGGGGAAUUUUGGACAAUGGGGGCAACCCUGAUCCAGCCAUGCCGCGUGCGGGAAGAAGGCCUUCGGGUUGUAAACCGCUUUUGUUCGGGAAGAAAUCCUCUGGGCUAAUACCCCGGGGAGAUGACGGUACCGGAAGAAUAAGCACCGGCUAACUACGUG
rnacentral:rRNA from 1 species